GAUGAAGAACGCAGCGAAAUGCGAUAAGUAAUGUGAAUUGCAGAAUUCAGUGAACCAUCGAAUCUUUGAACGCACAUUGCGCCCGGCAGUAAUCUGCCGGGCAUGCCUGUCCGAGCGUCAUUUCUACCAUCGAGCGAGUCCAGCAUCUAGGUGCUGGGCCUCGCCCGGCGUUGGAGCACUACGGGAAGCCCUGUGCUGUCCCCCGUAGGCCCCGAAAUGAAGUGGCGGUCCUGCCGCGGCGCCCCCUGCGUAGUAUAACAGCUCGCUUCGGGACCCGGUGGAGGCCUGCCGUCAAACCUAUACUCUCUAAGUUUGACCUCGGAUCAGGUAGGGUUACCCGCUGAACUUAAGCAUAUCAAUAAGCGGAGGA
rnacentral:misc_RNA from 1 species